rnacentral:rRNA from 1 species
UGGGGAAUCUUCCGCAAUGGGCGAAAGCCUGACGGAGCAAUGCCGCGUGAGUGAAGAAGGAAUUCGUUCCGUAAAGCUCUUUUGUUUAUGACGAAUGUGCUGAUUGUGAAUAAUGAUGAGUAAUGACGGUAGUAAACGAAUAAGCCACGGCUAACUAUGUGCCAGCUGCCGCGGUAAUACGUAGGUGGCGAGCGUUGUCCGGAAUUAUUGGGCGUAAAGAGCAUGUAGGCGGUUUUUUCAAGUCCGGAGUGAAAAUUGCGGGGCUCAACCCCGUAUGGCUCUGGAUACUGGAAGACUUGAGUGCAGGAGAGGAAAGGGGAAUUCUCAGUGUAGCGGUGAAAUGCGUAGAUAUUGGGAGGAACACCAGUGGCGAAGGCGCCUUUCUGGACUGUGUCUGACGCUGAGAUGCGAAAGCCAGGGUAGCGAACAGGAUUAGAUACC